rnacentral:rRNA from 1 species
GACGAACGCUGGCGGCGUGCUUAACACAUGCAAGUCGAACGGUGAAGGGACCGGUUUUUGCUGGUUCUGGAUGAGUGGCGAACGGGUGAGUAACACGUGAGUAACCUGCCCCCUUCUUCUGGAUAACCGCAUGAAAGUGUGGCUAAUACGGGAUAUUCUGCGCCUGCUGCAUGGUGGGGGUGGGAAAGAUAUUGUUUCGGUGGGGGAUGGGCUCGCGGCCUAUCAGCUUGUUGGUGGGGUGAGGGCCUACCAAGGCGGGGACGGGUAGCCGGCCUGAGAGGGUGGACGGUCACACUGGGACUGGGACACCGGCCAGACUCCUACGGGAGGCAGCAGUGGGGAAUAUUGCACAGUGGGCGCAAGCCUGAUGCAGCGACGCCGCGUGAGGGAUGGAGGCCUUCGGGUUGUAAACCUCUUUCGCCAGUGAAGCAGGCCUGUCCCUUUUGUGGGUGGGUUGACGGUAGCUGGAUAAGAAGCGCCGGCUAACUACGUG